rnacentral:rRNA from 1 species
UACGUAGGGGGCUAGCGUUGUCCGGAAUCAUUGGGCGGAAAGCGCGCGUAGGCGGCCCGGUAAGUCCGCUGUGAAAGUCAAAGGCUCAACCUUUGAAUGUCAGCGGAUACUGCCGGGCUAGAGUCCGGAAGAGGCGAGUGGAACUCCUGGUGUAGCGGUGGAAUGCGCAGAUAUCAGGAAGAACACCAACGGCGAAGGCAGCUCGCUGGGACGGAACUGACGCUGAGGCGCGAAAGCGUGGGGAGCGAACAGG